CAAGUCAUUACACAUGCAAGUCGAGCGGGGGAGGUAGCUUGCUACCGGACCUAGCGGCGGACGGGUGAGUAAUGCUUAGGAAUCUGCCUAUUAGUGGGGGACAACAUCUCGAAAGGGAUGCUAAUACCGCAUACGUCCUACGGGAGAAAGCAGGGGAUCUUCGGACCUUGCGCUAAUAGAUGAGCCUAAGUCGGAUUAGCUAGUUGGUGGGGUAAAGGCCUACCAAGGCGACGAUCUGUAGCGGGUCUGAGAGGAUGAUCCGCCACACUGGGACUGAGACACGGCCCAGACUCCUACGGGAGGCAGCAGUGGGGAAUAUUGGACAAUGGGGGGAACCCUGAUCCAGCCAUGCCGCGUGUGUGAAGAAGGCCUUAUGGUUGUAAAGCACUUUAAGCGAGGAGGAGGCUACUUUAGUUAAUACCUAGAGAUAGUGGACGUUACUCGCAGAAUAAGCACCGGCUAACUCUGUGCCAGCAGCCGCGGUAAUACAGAGGGUGCGAGCGUUAAUCGGAUUUACUGGGCGUAAAGCGUGCGUAGGCGGCUUAUUAAGUCGGAUGUGAAAUCCCCGAGCUUAACUUGGGAAUUGCAUUCGAUACUGGUGAGCUAGAGUAUGGGAGAGGAUGGUAGAAUUCCAGGUGUAGCGGUGAAAUGCGUAGAGAUCUGGAGGAAUACCGAUGGCGAAGGCAGCCAUCUGGCCUAAUACUGACGCUGAGGUACGAAAGCAUGGGGGAGCAAACAGGAUUAGAUACCCUGGGUAGUCCAUGCCGUAAACGAUGUCUACUAGCCGUUGGGGCCUUUGAUGCUUUAGUGCGCAGCUAACGCGAUAAGUAGACCGCCUGGGGAGUACGGUCGCAAGACUAAAACUCAAAUGAAUUGACGGGGGCCCGCACAGCGGUGGAGCAUGUGGUUUAAUUCGAUGCAACGCGAAGACCUUACCUGGCCUUGACAUACUGAAAACUUUCAGAUAUGGAUUGGUGCUUCGGGAUCUAGAUACAGUGCUGCAUGCCUGUCGUCAGCUCGUGUCUGGAGAUGUGGUAGUCCGCACGAGCGCACCUUUCUACUUGCAGCAUCCGGAUGGCAACUUUAAGGAACUGGCAUUGACCACUGGAGGAGCGCACACGUCACUCAUCAUGGCCUACGCAGUCUUACACCGUGCUAAUGGGGUCGGUUCG
rnacentral:rRNA from 1 species